AUUGAACGCUGGCGGCAGGCCUAACACAUGCAAGUCGAACGAGUGGCGGCCGGGUGAGUCAUGUCUGGGAAACUGCCUGAUGGAGGGGGCUAACUACUGGAAACGGUAGCUAAUACCGCAUACCAUCGGAUGUGCCCAGAUGGGAUUAGCUAGUAGGUGGGGUAACGGCUCACCUAGGCGACGAUCCCUAGCUGGUCUGAGAGGAUGACAAGCAAAACUGGAACUGAGAAACGGUCCAGACUACUACGGGAGGCAGAAGUGGGGAAGAUUGCAAAAUGGGCGAAAGCCUGAUGCAGACAUGCCGCGUGUAUGAAGAAGGCCUUCGGGUUGUAAAGUACUGUCAGCGGGGAGGCGUUACCCGCAGAAGAAGCACCGGCUAACUCCGUGCCAGCAGCCGCGGUAAUAC
rnacentral:rRNA from 1 species